ACGGGGUUUGCCUUAGUACGGCGAGUGAAGCGGCAAAAGCUCAAAUUUGAAAUCUGGUACCUUCGGUGCCCGAGUUGUAAUUUGGAGAGGGCAACUUUGGGGCCGUUCCUUGUCUAUGUUCCUUGGAACAGGACGUCAUAGAGGGUGAGAAUCCCGUGUGGCGAGGAGUGCGGUUCUUUGUAAAGUGCCUUCGAAGAGUCGAGUUGUUUGGGAAUGCAGCUCUAAGUGGGUGGUAAAUUCCAUCUAAAGCUAAAUAUUGGCGAGAGACCGAUAGCGAACAAGUACAGUGAUGGAAAGAUGAAAAGAACUUUGAAAAGAGAGUGAAAAAGUACGUGAAAUUGUUGAAAGGGAAGGGCAUUUGAUCAGACAUGGUGUUUUGUGCCCUCUGCUCCUUGUGGGUAGGGGAAUCUCGCAUUUCACUGGGCCAGCAUCAGUUUUGGUGGCAGGAUAAAUCCAUAGGAAUGUAGCUUGCCUCGGUAAGUAUUAUAGCCUGUGGGAAUACUGCCAGCUGGGACUGAGGACUGCGACGUAAGUCAAGGAUGCUGGCAUAAUGGUUAUAUGCCGCCCGUCCUGAAACACGAAAACGAAACAAAA
rnacentral:rRNA from 1 species